UGCCCGCCACCACGUCCAGCUAUUUUUUGUAUUCUUAGUAGAGAUGGUGUUUCACUAUGUUGGUCAGGCUGGUCUCAAACUCCUGACCUCAGGUGACCCGCCCACCUUGGCCUCCCAAAGUGCUGGGAUUACAGGCGUAAGCCACUGUGCCCGGGCCCUUCUGUAUUUUUUUAAAGCAAGUUUGAUGCAGGGUUUUCUGCUACUUGCAGCAUCCUGACUGACCCCUCAAGCUUUCAAACUCUUCGCAGUCUUGUGCCAUUCUCUCCUCCUAACUGAAAUAAGUGUCUUCUCCCGCUCCUUCCCGUUACAGGGCGCACAUCCCAGGGAUUCCCAACUCUCUCUUCCCUAUCUCCAUGCACCGUGCACCGCUCUGCCAGGCUAUUUUGGCCCCGCCUCUGUCUCCUGGUGCUAUAUAGAUUCAAACAGAUCGCAAAAGAAAGGCUGCUGUGUGUCGUUGCUUCCCCGUACUCAAGGAGAAAAUGCCUUCUGAAGACUUAAAAACUUCUUUUCAGUAAGAUGAUCCAUACAUCCUCAGUCUGUAAAUUGCCUGGUAACCUUCUGCUGUCAAAGGUCAUUUCAGCUUCGCAAAAACUGCUGACAAUAUCCACUUUUGACAAGUUGUUUCUUAUGGGACUUCCCAGAAAAAUAUUACAAAUAAGUCUUCUUUUAAAAUGAAAUAAUAGGCCAGGCGCGGUGGCUCACGCCUGUAAUCCCAGCACUUUGGGAGGCCGAGGUGGGCGGAUCAUGAGGUGCCCCAGACAGGCUCCUGUGGGAACCCAUCACCUUCUUGCAUUUCACUCCCUCUAGCCAGAUGGGCUCCAAUCGAACAUCUUUGUUGCCUGCUUGAGGCACCAAGAACAUCAAGAACACUCCAAAAGGAAGACAACGCUACCAAGUCCAGGGCCAAGAGAGUGAGACAAGGCAGACAGUGCUGCGAUCAUGUAAGCAGGACCCAGAGCUCUGGGGUCCCUGUGGGGAUGAUGGGGAUGGAGGCAGGAGAGGCAGGCAGAGACCGUGAAACCUACCACCCAGGCCCAACCAGGUACCACAAGAGAGGGCCAGUCCAGCAGGUUGGGGAAUGCACAGGCCUAGGGCUUCAGGGAACUAUCCCGGGUGCAGAUACAGGCGGCAGACACCUGGCAGCGCCCAAGGAAUAAAUCGCCCUUCCAGGUGUGGCCUCUCACCUCAGCUGGCUAAGGGCAUCUCCCUGGUAUCUCCCGAGAGUGUCUGCCUCCCCGUCAGCCCUGGGGGAGUUAUCGGCUCCCACACACCACCAGUUUGUGGCAACCUCAGGACAAAGAUUCAGAAAGUCCACCAUGUUUUUUUGUUUUUUGUUUUUUGUUUUUUGAGACGGAGCCUGGCUCUGUCCCCCAGACAGUUAGUGCAGUGUUGUGAUCUCCGCUCACUGCAAGCUCCGCCUCCCGAGUUCACGCCAUUCUCCUGCCUCAGCCUCCCGAGUAGCUGGGACUACAGGCGCCCGCCACCACGCCCUCCUAAUUUUUUUGUAUGUUUAGUAGAGACGGGGUUUCACCACGUUGGCCAGGAUGGUCUUGAACUCCUGACCUCGUGAUCCGCCCACCUCGGCCUCCCAAAGUGCUGGGAUUACAGGCGUGAGCAACCGCGCCCAGCCCCCACCAUGUUUUUAAAUGACACCAACUUUCGACUCAAUCCUAUCUUGGACUAAAGGCCAAAGUAAAGGCACCUGCAGAAAAUGUUGCUACAGAGAGGCAGAGGGAGACGGGCUAUCUCCCAAACGGAGGUGGAAAGGCUGCUUAACAGCUGGCUAGCCUCUAAUCCUUACAUUAAUAAGGGCCACUGCCAAACUAAAUGUUUAGGACGUUGUUACAAGCAUAAAGAAGUUAUAAGAUCAUAAAAAUGUUAGAAGAAAACAUAGGAUUUCCCCCCAGUCUUCCAGGAAUCUUCCAAGCCUUAAAGCUAACAUAAGAAAAAAAACCAAACAGCAAACUCGAGGAAAAUGGUUACAAGUCAUCCAGAAGGGUUAAUUUACAUCAUACAUAAAGUGUACCUAUAAAUACAUAAGAAAAUAAUGCUUCUCACAGCAUAUACACACACAUAAAGGCAAAGGAAAUGAAGAGACUGUUCAAAGAACAGGAAAUACAUCAAACUAGAAAAUAUGUAAAGAUUUGAUAAUCCCCUGGGUCAGGGAGGGUGUAGGGAACAGAACCACACAUAUUAUUUCACCCUCCCACUUCUAAAAAUUUCUUACACGUGUGCAAAUGUCUGUGCAUGCCAAGAUUUCGUGAUAUAUUGUGAAUAUAACAGCAAAGACUGGAGACAAACUUAAUGCUUCCUCGGUAAGUGAUUAGUUAAAUAAAUGGCAGUCCAGUCUGAUAUUACCUACUAUAGUCAAUUUUUAAAAAUAGAUAUGCAUGAAGAUAUCCACUGUUGUUGCAUAUACUAGACAAAAGCCACCACUGGGAUGACCUCAUGGUAGUCAGUUCAGUAUUUUAUUAUUUUUUUUUGAGACGGAGUCUCGCUCUGUUGCUCAGGCUGGAGUGCAGUGGAGUGAUCUCGGCUCACCGCAACCUCCGCCUCCCAGGUUCAAGCGAUUCUCCUACCUCAGCCUCCCGAGUAGCUGGGAAUACAGACGUAAACCACCAUGCCCGGCUAAUUUUUGUAUUUUUAGUAGAGAUGGGGUUUCACUAUGUUGGCCAGGCUGGUCUGGAACUCCUGACCUCGUGAUCCGCCCGCCUCGGCCUCCCAAAGU
rnacentral:lncRNA from 1 species